UACGUAGGGGGCGAGCGUUAUCCGGAAUUACUGGGCGUAAAGCGCACGUAGGCGGCUUUGUAAGUUAGAGGUGAAAGCCCAGGGCUUAGCCCUGGAAUUGCCUUUAAGACUGCAUCGCUAGAAUCGUGGAGAGGUGAGUGGAAUUCCGAGUGUAGAGGUGAAAUUCGUAGAUAUUCGGAAGAACACCAGUGGCGAAGGCGACUCACUGGACACGUAUUGACGCUGAGGUGCGAAAGCGUGGGGAGCAAACAGG
rnacentral:rRNA from 1 species